rnacentral:lncRNA from 1 species
GUUGGGGGGUGCGGGGUGGAGAGCCUGAAGAUGGGGUUGUUUGGGGGGUGGAGAGCCUGGAGUGGGGGUACGUUGGGUCGUGGAGACCUCAAAGUUGGGGUACGUUGGGUGGUGGACCUCAAAGUUGGGGUUUGUUGGGUGGUGGACCCCAAAUUUGGGGUUGGAGACCCCAAAGUUGGUGUUUUUUGGAUGGUGGAGACCCCAAAGUUGGGGUACGUUGGGUGGAGACCCCAAAGUGGGGGUUCGUUGGGUGGUGGACCCCAAAGCGGGGCUUGGAG